CCUACGGGUGGCAGCAGUGGGGGAUAUUGCACAAUGGGGGGAACCCUGAUGCAGCGACGCCGCGUGGGUGAAGGAGUGCUUCGGCAUGUAAAGCCCUAUCGGCAGGGAAGAAGCAAGACGGUACCUGACUAAGAAGCCCCGGCUAACUACGUGCCAGCAGCCGCGGUAAUACGUAGGGGGCGAGCGUUAUCCGGAUUCACUGGGUGUAAAGGGAGCGUAGACGGCCAUGCAAGCCAGAGGUGAAAGCCCGGGGCGCAACCCCGGGACUGCCGUUGGAACUGUAUGGCUAGAGUGCGGGAGGGGUAGGCGGAAUUCCUGGUGUAGCGGUGAAAUGCGUAGAUAUCAGGAGGAACACCGGUGGCGAAGGCGGCCUGCUGGACCGCGACUGACGUUGAGGCUCGAAAGCGUGGGGAGCGAACAGGAUUAGAUACCCUAGUAGUC
rnacentral:rRNA from 1 species